rnacentral:rRNA from 1 species
UACGUAGGUGGCAAGCGUUUGUCCGGAUUUACUGGGCGUAAAGAGCGCGCAGGCGGUCGUUCAAGUCGCGUGUGAAAGCCCCCGGCUCAACUGGGGAGGGUCACGCGAUACUGAUCGACUCGAAGGCAGGAGAGGGUAGUGGAAUUCCCGGUGUAGUGGUGAAAUGCGUAGAUAUCGGGAGGAACACCAGUGGCGAAGGCGGUUCUCUGGGACGGUACUGACGCUGAGACGCGAAAGGCGUGGGAGGCAAACAGG